rnacentral:rRNA from 1 species
GACGAACGCUGGCGGCGUGCUUAACACAUGCAAGUCGAACGGAAAGGCCCUGCUUUUGUGGGGUGCUCGAGUGGCGAACGGGUGAGUAACACGUGAGUAACCUGCCCUUGACUUUGGGAUAACUUCAGGAAACUGGGGCUAAUACCGGAUAGGAGCUCCUGCUGCAUGGUGGGGGUUGGAAAGUUUCGGCGGUUGGGGAUGGACUCGCGGCUUAUCAGCUUGUUGGUGGGGUAGUGGCUUACCAAGGCUUUGACGGGUAGCCGGCCUGAGAGGGUGACCGGCCACAUUGGGACUGAGAUACGGCCCAGACUCCUACGGGAGGCAGCAGUGGGGAAUAUUGCACAAUGGGCGGAAGCCUGAUGCAGCAACGCCGCGUGCGGGAUGACGGCCUUCGGGUUGUAAACCGCUUUCGCCUGUGACGAAGCGUGAGUGACGGUAAUGGGUAAAGAAGCACCGGCUAACUACGUGCCAGCAGCCGCGGUGAUACGUAGGGUGCGAGCGUUGUCCGGAUUUAUUGGGCGUAAAGGGCUCGUAGGUGGUUGAUCGCGUCGGAAGUGUAAUCUUGGGGCUUAACCCUGAGCGUGCUUUCGAUACGGGUUGACUUGAGGAAGGUAGGGGAGAAUGGAAUUCCUGGUGGAGCGGUGGAAUGCGCAGAUAUCAGGAGGAACACCAGUGGCGAAGGCGGUUCUCUGGGCCUUUCCUGACGCUGAGGAGCGAAAGCGUGGGGAGCGAACAGGCUUAGAUACCCUGGUAGUCCACGCUGUAAACGGUGGGUACUAGGUGUGGGGUCCAUUCCACGGGUUCCGUGCCGUAGCUAACGCUUUAAGUACCCCGCCUGGGGAGUACGGCCGCAAGGCUAAAACUCAAAGGAAUUGAUGGGGCCCCGCACAAGCGGCGGAGCAUGCGGAUUAAUUCGAUGCAACGCGUAGAACCUUACCUGGGUUUGACAUGGAUCGGGAGUGCUCAGAGAUGGGUGUGCCUCUUUUGGGGUCGGUUCACAGGUGGUGCAUGGCUGUCGUCAGCUCGUGUCGUGAGAUGUUGGGUUAAGUCCCGCAACGAGCGCAACCCUUGUUCACUGUUGCCAGCACGUUAUGGUGGGGACUCAGUGGAGACCGCCGGGGUCAACUCGGAGGAAGGUGGGGAUGACGUCAAGUCAUCAUGCCCCUUAUGUCCAGGGCUUCACGCAUGCUACAAUGGCUGGUACAGAGAGUGGCGAGCCUGUGAGGGUGAGCGAAUCUCGGAAAGCCGGUCUCAGUUCGGAUUGGGGUCUGCAACUCGACCUCAUGAAGUCGGAGUCGCUAGUAAUCGCAGAUCAGCAACGCUGCGGUGAAUACGUUCCCGGGGCU